UAAUUUAUGGCAAUUUCUCUUUCUCUGUGCCUAUAAAUUCCCAUCCCAGCUCACUUGUGCCACAGAUCUGCUAUUCACAGUAAUGCUUAGCUCAGUGAAGCAUCACAAUUCCAGUUCCAGUAGCACAAAAGAACUCUCUCCUGCAUUUUCCCUAUAUAAAUCACUUUGUCUCUAGUUUUCUCUUGUAGAAUCAAUGGAAGCAGUGUUCAAAUGACAUUCCAGUUUUCCUGAUUGUCCAUCAAGUUGAAAACAUACAUGAGUGUUCUUUGCUCAUCUAGGUCCAUCUAGCCCUGAUCUCUGGUACAAAACACUAUCUGUUGGUUGGAACAUAGGGGCAUAGAAGAACCUACUGCUUUUGGUCCUAAGAGCAGCAGAGCAGCAUCCAGGACAGCCAACCUCCUCAGUGGUGGUGCCAACUACAGCCCCUCUUAGAGUUGUGCUGGACCUACCUUUGCAUCCCUUCAUGGAGCUGAGAUGGAUAUUUCAGACCCUCUUGGUGAUGAGAGUCCUGUCUGGACACUUGCCAAUGUUCAGGAUGCUUUAAUGUAAACACUGGGUUCACCUGGAGGAUGUCCCCAUGUAAACCAACUAUACAAGCUCAGAUUUUUCAUAAGCUGGCCAGACCUCUUGAAGCA
rnacentral:lncRNA from 1 species